AAGUCGUAACAAGGUUUCCGUAGGUGAACCUGCGGAAGGAUCAUUAGAAAUCACCGGCUUAACCGGUAUACUAUUCUAUCCACCUUGUGUGCAAACAAUGGAAAAAGAGAGAAAAUUGGAUACUUUUCUGUAUUCAACUUCUCUAAAAUUCUUUAUAAACUCCAUCAAAUUUUGAAUGAAAACAAUUUUUUUAAAUAAAAAAAUAUUAUACAACUUUCAACAACGGAUCUCUUGGCUCUC
rnacentral:misc_RNA from 1 species